rnacentral:rRNA from 1 species
GAUCCUGGCUCAGGAUGAACGCUGGCGGCGUGCUUAACACAUGCAAGUCGAACGGGAAAUACUUUAUUGAAACUUCGGUCGAUUUAAUUUAUUUCUAGUGGCGGACGGGUGAGUAACGCGUGGGUAACCUGCCUUAUACCGGGGGAUAACAGCCAGAAAUGACUGCUAAUACCGCAUAAGCGCACAGAACCGCAUGGUUCCGUGUGAAAAACUCCGGUGGUAUAAGAUGGACCCGCGUUGGAUUAGCUAGUUGGCAGGG